AUGGAUGACACUUGCUUGGGACAACGGGACAGGCCUCUGGGGAGCUGGCUGAUAGCCCACCUGCCUUCCACUGGGGUCAUAGCUCACUCUAUUCUCAUCAUUCCCAGCAGGUUCCCACUCCAGCCUGGCCCCCAGGGGGCAGGCCCCAGAUGCUGGUUCCAUGGGUUUUGGUCUGAGCCUCAGUCACCGUGGUUCAUCUUUGGUGGUGGAACCCAACUCACUGUCCUAGACCAGCCCAAAUCUGCUCCCUUGGUCACUCUGUUCCCACCCUCCUCUGAGGAGCUCCAGGUCAACAAAGCCACACUGGUGUGUCUGAUGAAUGACUUCUACCCGGGCACUGUGAUGGUGGCCUGGAAAGCUAAUGGCACCACCAUCACCCAGGGUGUGGAGACCACCCAGCCCUCCAAACAGAGAAAUAACAAAUACAUGGCCAGCAGCUACCUGACUGUGACACCUGACCAGUGGAUAUCUCGUGGCACAUACACCUGCCAGGUCACACAUGAAGGGAGCACUGUAGAAAAGAAUGUGUCUCUUGCAAAGUGUUCUUGGUCUUCAACCCUCACCCCAUAUGCAGAGACCUAGAACUGAAAAACUCUGGGGAGGGGUCCCCCCUCCUACCCUUAACAUCCCAAGCCCUUUCCCUGCAACCAAUAAAUGCUCAA